AGCUGGGUCAUUGGUUUGGGUUAUAAUAGUGAUGGUACAUUCACCAAAACCCUGCAGGAGGCCAAAGUACCAAUCGUGGGAAACAAUGAGUGCAAAGGCAUCUUUCAAGGGAGCUAUCCCAAGAUCACAGAGAACAUGAUCUGUGCUGGAGACAAGGAUUCAUGCUUGUUUACUUAUGGAGCACCACUCAUGACCAAAAGUGGAUCAGUCUGGCUCCAGAGUGGAGUUCUGAGUGUCAGUGCGUGUGAUGCAUUUCCUUCAGUGUUCACUCGUGUGUCCCAGUACCAGAAAUGGAUCAGCGA